GACGAACGCUGGCGGCGUGCUUAACACAUGCAAGUCGAACGAAGAGCGAUGGACGCUUGCUUCUAUCAAUCUUAGUGGCGAACGGGUGAGUAACGCGUAAUCAACCUGCCCUUCAGAGGGGGACAACAGUUGGAAACGACUGCUAAUACCGCAUACGAUCUAAUCUCGGCAUCGAGGAUAGAUGAAAGGUGGCCUCUACAUGUAAGCUAUCACUGAAGGAGGGGAUUGCGUCUGAUUAGCUAGUUGGAGGGGUAACGGCCCACCAAGGCGAUGAUCAGUAGCCGGUCUGAGAGGAUGAAAGGCAACAUUGGGACUGAGACACGGCCCAGACUCCUACGGGAGGCAGCAGUGGGGAAUCUUCCGCAAUGGACGAAAGUCUGACGGAGCAACGCCGCGUGAGUGAUGACGGCCGUCGGGUUGUAAAGCUCUGUUAAUCGGGACGAAAGGCCUUCUUGCGAAUAGUGAGAAGGAUUGACGGUACCGGAAUAGAAAGCCACGGCUAACUACGUG
rnacentral:rRNA from 1 species